rnacentral:rRNA from 1 species
UACGAAGGGGGCUAGCGUUGUUCGGAAUUACUGGGCGUAAAGGGCGCGUAGGCGGUGUGUCAAGUCAGGCGUGAAAGCCCCGGGCUCAACCUGGGAACCGCGCUUGAGACUGGCACGCUCGAGUUCGGGAGAGGAUGGUGGAAUUCCCAGUGUAGAGGUGAAAUUCGUAGAUAUUGGGAAGAACACCAAUGGCGAAGGCAGCUCUCUGGACCGUUACUGACGCUGAGGCGCGAAAGCGUGGGGAGCAAACAGG